rnacentral:rRNA from 1 species
AUGGAAACUUACACCGUGCAGUGCAGUUCGCUGGAAGUACUCUCAGAAGACUCACACACAAGCUGUCUUCUAUGCAGCUCAGACAUAAACUCUACUCAGAAUGAACGACCCUUUUUGUCGACCGACUCUUCUAUCAUGCAGCGGACCUGUUAUCGUCAUCAAUCAAGAGACCAAACGGAUACGACGCCUCGAGCAUCCAUCCACAACAUGGGCAUCUCACCCUAUCCCGGCACAUCAAAGCCCGCAUCAAAUUACAACACAUGCUAUGGGCUCCUCCCCCACACUAUAUGUACAGUUGAAAUUAGCAGCCACGUCUCACAAGAUGGCAAAAUCUCAGGGGACCUUGUAGAUGUGAGUUCGGUAAGUUAA